rnacentral:rRNA from 1 species
UGCCAGCCGCCGCGGUAAUACGAAGGGAGCUAGCGUUGCUCGGAAUCACUGGGCGUAAAGCGCGUGUAGGUGGAAAUGAAAGCUAGAGGUGAAAGCCCGGGGCUCAACCUCGGAAUGUCCUUUAGAACUACAUUUCUAGAAUCUGUUAGAGGGUAGUGGAAUUCCUAGUGUAGCGGUGAAAUGCGUAGAUAUUAGGAGGAACACCAGUGGCGAAGGCGACUACCUGGGACAGUAUUGACACUAAGACGCGAAAGCGUGGGGAGCAAACAGGAUUAGAUA